GUGGGGAAUCUUCCGCAAUGGACGAAAGUCUGACGGAGCAACGCCGCGUGAGUGAAGAAGGUUUUCGGAUCGUAAAGCUCUUUCGUUAGGGACGAACGUGCUCUUUGUGAAUAAUGAGGAGUAAUGACGGUACCUAAAUAAGAAGCCACGGCUAACUACGUGCCAGCAGCCGCGGUAAUACGUAGGUGGCAAGUGUUGUCCGGAAUUAUUGGGCGUAAAGCGCGCGCAGGCGGGAUAUCAAGUCUGUCUUAAAAGUGCGAGGCUCAACCUCGUGAGGGGACAGAAACUGGUAUUCUUGAGUGUCGGAGAGGAAAGUGGAAUUCCAAGUGUAGCGGUGAAAUGCGUAGAGAUUUGGAAGAACACCAGUGGCGAAGGCGACUUUCUGGACGAUGUCUGACGCUGAGGCGCGAAAGCUAGGGGAGCGAACGGGAUUAGAUACCCCUGUAGUCC
rnacentral:rRNA from 1 species